rnacentral:pre_miRNA from 2 species
UACUAUCAGAGCUGUGGAGUGUGACAAUGGUGUUUGUGUCCAAUCUAUCAAACGCCAUUAUCACACUAAAUAGCUACUGUUAGAUA